UACGUAGGGCGCAAGCGUUUGUCCGGAAUUAUUGGGCGUAAAGCGCGCGCAGGCGGUCCUUUAAGUCUGAUGUGAAAGCCCACGGCUCAACCGUGGAGGGUCAUUGGAAACUGGGGGACUUGAGUACAGAAGAGGAAAGCGGAAUUCCACGUGUAGCGGUGAAAUGCGUAGAGAUGUGGAGGAACACCAGUGGCGAAGGCGGCUUUCUGGUCUGUAACUGACGCUGAGGCGCGAAAGCGUGGGGAGCAAACAGG
rnacentral:rRNA from 1 species